rnacentral:rRNA from 1 species
UACGUAGGGUGCGAGCGUUGUCCGGAAUUAUUGGGCGUAAAGAGCUUGUAGGCGGUCUGUCGCGUCUGCUGUGAAAAUCCGGGGCUCAACCCCGGACUUGCAGUGGGUACGGGCAGACUAGAGUGUGGUAGGGGAGACUGGAAUUCCUGGUGUAGCGGUGAAAUGCGCAGAUAUCAGGAGGAACACCGAUGGCGAAGGCAGGUCUCUGGGCCGAUACUGACGCUGAGGAGCGAAAGCGUGGGGAGCAAACAGG